rnacentral:rRNA from 1 species
UACGUAGGGUGCAAGCGUUGUCCGGAAUUAUUGGGCGUAAAGAGCUCGUAGGCGGUUUGUCGCGUCUGCUGUGAAAACGCGAGGCUCAACCUCGCGCCUGCAGUGGGUACGGGCAGACUAGAGUGCGGUAGGGGAGAUUGGAAUUCCUGGUGUAGCGGUGGAAUGCGCAGAUAUCAGGGGGAACACCGAUGGCGAAGGCAGAUCUCUGGGCCGUAACUGACGCUGAGGAGCGAAAGCAUGGGGAGCGAACAGG